GGGAGUCUGGCUCUCGAGAUUCGGAGGACGGUGCCUCUUCGUUUUGGGAGCAAGCAAUCUUGUUGGGAGUGUUUUCUCGAAUGUGAGUAAAGGUUGGGCAUGUUUGCUAGUCUACCUUGCCACGAAGCACAGAGGUUGACACAUAGGGACUUUCCAAUUAUCCAGCAGUGGUACUGUUCCUUUACCCUUGUGGGUAAUAAUAUGGUAGCUAGACCUUCAAAAUUUAUGUGUCUAAACUUUGUUAGUGCUGUUUCUUUGCUAUUCUUUUACCUUUCUUGGUCAGAGCGAUGUAGUGGGAGCUGCAAGCUUCACGUGCUCAACUUUAGCAGAGAACUUUGGCAAAGUUAUCUGUGGUACCCAUGAGCUAUUGUUGCGUGUGGAAGUGGGUGAUUGAACAGUAAGAUUCAUGUGCUUUCUACUUCACCAGAAGUCUUCGACAGAAUGCCCAUAAUUUCUGCAAAGCUGAGUGUGCGUGUGACAGGUGCUGACAAGGCUAGAAAAGUAGGUGCCUCUUCGAUUUCUGAGAUCGGCCCUUGUGGUCUCUGAGCAGCCCAGCUUUUGAGAAAGCGAGCGCCUCUUCGAUUGAUUCGAAGAACGAUGCCUCAUCGAUUUUUGAGAAAGCAAUCAUGCUGGGGGUCUGGCUCUCGAAGAUUCGGGGAGCAGUGUCUCUUUGAUUUUUGAGAAAGUAAUCAUGUUGGGAGUCUGGCUCUCGAGAUUCGGAGGGCGGUGCCUCUUCGAUUUUGGAGCAAGCAAUCUUGUUGGGAGUGUUUUCUCGAAUGUGAGUAAAGGUUGGGCAUGUUUGCUAGUCUACCUUGCCACGAAGCACAAAGGUUGACACACAGGGACUUUCCAAUUAUCCAGCAAUGGUACUGUUCCUUUACCCUCUCUUCGAAUUUUAAGAAAGUAGUCAUGUUGGGAGUCUGGCUCUCGAGAUUCGAAGGACGGUGCCUCUUCGAUUUUGGAGCAAGCAAUCUUAUUGGGAGUGUUUUCUCGAAUGUGAGUAAAGGUUGGGCAUGUUUGCUAGUCUACCUUGCCACGAAGCACAGAGGUUGACACACAGGGACUUUCUAAUUAUCCAGCAGUGGUACUGUUCCUUUACCCUUGUGGGUAAUAAUAUGGUAGCUAGACCUUCAAAAUUUAUGGGUCUAAACUUUGUUAGUGCUGUUUUCUUUUUCUUUGCUAUUCUUUUACCCUUCUUGGUCAGAGCGAUGUAGUGGGAGCUGCAAGCUUCACGUGCUCAACUUUGGCAGAGAACUUUGGCAAAG
rnacentral:lncRNA from 1 species